UUUCUGGUGUGUAAAAACAUAGAAAACGCCACGCAGCUAACACGCAACAGAAAUGCCACGCUCACACCACGCAGCCAGUGUGUAGUCGGCCUA